rnacentral:misc_RNA from 1 species
GAUGAAGAACGUAGCGAAAUGCGAUACUUGGUGUGAAUUGCAGAAUCCCGUGAACCAUCGAGUCUUUGAACGCAAGUUGCGCCCGAAGCCAUUAGGCCGAGGGCACGCCUGCCUGGGCGUCACACGUCGUUGCCCCCUCAUCUACUCCUUCGGGAUUGCGGGGGGCGGAUGAUGGCCUCCCGUGCGCCUCGCCGCGCGGUUGGCAUAAAUGCCAAGUCCUCGGCGACGCACGCCACGACAAUCGGUGGUUGCGAAACCUCGGUUGCCCGUCGUGUGCGGUCGUCGCGCAUCGAGGGCUCGAAAAAAUUGCCGGGUUCCGGCUCGGCUUUCAACGCGACCCCAGGUCAGGCGGGGUUACCCGCUGAAUUUAAGCAUAUCAAUAAGCGGAGGA